UACGUAGGGUGCGAGCGUUGUCCGGAAUUACUGGGCGUAAAGCGCGCGCAGGCGGCCCUUUAAGUCCGUCGGUCAAAUGCCGGGGCUCAACCCCGAUGCAUGCCGAGGAUACUGGAGGGCUGGAGACACGUAGAGGCAAGCGGAAUUCCGGGUGUAGCGGUGGAAUGCGUAGAGAUCCGGAAGAACACCGGAGGCGAAGGCAGGUCUCUGGGCCACUACUGACGCUGAGAAGCGAAAGCAUGGGGAGCGAACAGG
rnacentral:rRNA from 1 species